GUGGCUCCCCACACGUAAGCAGCAGCUCCCCCCACACACGGCCCUCCCCACACACACACACCCGGCGGCUCCCCCCACCACACGGUGACUCCCCCUCACACAGCAGCUCCCCCCACACACGGCCCUCCCCCCACACACACACACCCGGCGGCUCCCCCCACCACACGGUGACUCCCCCUCACACAGCAGCUCCCCCCACACACGGCCCUCCCCCCACACACACCUGGCGGCUCCCCCCACCACACGGUGACUCCCCCUCACACAGCAGCUCCCCCCACACACGGCCCUCCCCACACACACACACCCGGCGGCUCCCCCCACCACACGGUGACUCCCCCUCACACAGCAGCUCCCCCCACACACGGCCCUCCCCACACACACACACCCGGCGGCUCCCCCCACCACACGGUGACUCCCCCUCACACAGCAGCUCCCCCCACACACGGCCCUCCCCACACACACACACCUGGCGGCUCCCCCCACCACACGGUGACUCCCCCUCACACAGCAGCUCCCCCCACACACGGCCCUCCCCACACACACACACCCGGCGGCUCCCCCCACCACACGGUGACUCCCCCUCACACAGCAGCUCCCCCCACACACGGCCCUCCCCCCACACACACACCCGGCGGCUCCCCCCACCACACGGUGACUCCCCCUCACACAGCAGCUCCCCCCACACACGGCCCUCCCCCCACACACACACCCGGCGGCUCCCCCACACAGAGCUGGGAGGCUCCAGUACUCUCGGAGCUUGGCUGGGGCUCCUGGGGAGGGCCGUGGCUCCUCCUCACCCGCUGGGGAGCCAGGAGUUCCGUGAGUGGUUGAAGCCCUGCUGGGAGGGUUGGGCGUUUCCAGCCAUUCUCACACGGCUUCUCAGCCGGGGUCUCCCACCCCGGCCCUGGCCCUGGGCCUGCCCUCACUGCCUCCUCCCCAUCCCCUACCCCUAGAGGCCUCCUGCCCUGGUCACCUACGCGUCACCUAAGCCCCGAGGCCAGGCGGCUUCUUGUCUACUAAAGACUUCCGGAGAGAGGCAUUCACCCUGUGGUCAGAGCUGGGGUUUCCAUGGAGGAGCACCACAGCCAUAAAGAAAGGCUGGUGAGCCCCAGAGCGGAGGACCCUGCCGAGCUGUUUCCAGACUCCUGAUCCACAGAAACCGUGAGAGGAUAACAUUGUUCUGCUUGAAGCCACUACACCUGCCGUCACUUGUCUCGCAUCAUUAGGGAACCAACGUGCUCUGGAAGACAGCAACUCUCAGGGUCCAUUCCGCUGACACCAGCGCCUCAGAUGACACAGGACGUGGCAUGGUGGCUAUUGACUCAUCAAGGGAACAGCAAUGGUAACAACAAAACCUGGUUGUUCAGAAGUCACACACUCAAGGCCCUACGGGGCCAAGAGGGGUCCAGGAGCAGCCCAGUGAGCGGGGCAGGGGAGGGGUGCAGUCCACCCAGGACCCGUGCUGCCCACAGGCUGCUGCUGUGCUCGGAGAGGGCCUGCCACAUGUGUCCGCAGAGAGAAUCCGGGAAUGCAAAUUUCUAAGCGAAUUUCUCCAUACUUCAAUGUUUGACAAUCAGUAAUUUUUCUUUGUAAUUGAUUUUUUAAAUGUGAAACUCUUUUCAGGCAAACAAAACACACUUGCAGGCUGCCAUUACACAAUUUUGUUUUAAUCAUUUUAAGGUCUUCAUUGUCUUUUACACAAAAGCUGGGAAUAUUCUCCCUCUUUCCAGAAUUCAACUGGUUUAGUGACUAGGAAGAUAUUUUGUAAUACAUUUUUUUAAAAAAGAAAACCAUGAAGGAAUAUUUCAAAUAAGAAGCUGACUAGCUUAAAUUAAUAGCUGUUAAGUAUUAAAUAUGAUGUGCUUUCUCUUAAACUAGGCCACUCUGCACCUUGCAUUCCUAUCCUUUUUUGGGCUUCAGAUCAGAAAUCGCAACUUUUGCGUGGAGAUCCUGGGCCUCCACACUGCUGGCCUCCCAUCGUCCCAAGAAUGACUCCCUGGAAAGAGCCUGUUCAGACCCUUUGUGACUGGACUCUACUGUAAGAGGAGAAUCAAAUGCUUGCAAGAAAACUGUAAAGCAGAGUUUCCUAAAAUACAUUUCAUAAGCGUGAGUGCCAGGAGUGCCUUAAAAAUGUGACUCUAUUGUCAAAUAAGUUGGGCAAUUUACUGAAGUAUACAUGAAUAUGUUAAAACCUCCAAGGAGUCCUGAAUUUAAAACAAACCUACACACAAAAACAAAGGUAUUUUUUAACCUAUCUGUUUGUUUGUUUGUUUUUGUUUGUUCAUUUGUUUUGAGACAGACUCUGGCUCUGUCACUCAGGCUGGAGUGCAGUGGCGCAAACUCGGCUUAUUGCAACCUCCGCCUCCCAGGCUCAAGCAAUCCUCUCACCUCACCCUCCUGAGUAGCCCGCCACCAUGCCCAGCUAAUUUUUUGUAGUUUUGGUAGAGACAGCGUUUCACCAUAUUGCCCAGGCUGAUCUUGAACUCCUGACCUCAAGUCAUCCUCCUGCCUCAACCUCCCAAAAUGCUAGGAUUACAGGUGUGAGCCACCAGGCCCAGCCUAAAUUAUCUUUAACCCACUGUUUUCCUCAAAUUAUUUUAACAGAUAGCUCUUUUUAAAAAUAAAUAAAUAAAUAAACACUUUUACUAUCCCAAGUACUAAUAGGAAAUACUUCGAAAAAUGUGACCCAGGACCCCGCAGUGAGCUUCUCACACACCUGACUUCACCUCCAGUGGAAGGAAAUCUGCGGCCUGCUGAAAUAAGAGAUGAAGGAACUAAAAGAAAAUCCCCAACAUUUUUACUUUCAAAAACCCUAAUAAAUGGUACAAAUAGAAACAAAUAGCAUGAGAGACUUAAAUCUGCUAUAUUGAUGGUUACAUUUAAUUAGUGGUCUAGAGACUCCUAUUAGAAGGCAAAACUUGUCAGAAUGGAUAAAGCACUAGGGCCCAACUCUACAGUAUGCGCAAGAGAUGAACUUCAUACACACAGGUAGAAAUAGGUUAGAAGAGAAAAGAGGGAAAAAGACGCUCCAUGCAAACAGUAAUCAUAGGAAAGCUGGGUGGUACCAAGUAUUCUAAGAACAGAUGUGCCUGAUGAUAGAGCUUCAAAUAUGUGAAAAAAAAACUGACACCUGAAAGACGAAGUAAGUCCACAAUUACAGUUAUACCUUUCCGCGUUCCCCUGUCAGUAACUGCUCGACAGAAAGUCAGUAAGAGCACAGAAGGCUUGAAAAACACUAAAACCCGGCUCGAUCCACUUAACAUUGCUUAAGCAUUCCAUCCCACACGUGCAGACUAUAAUUAUGUUCUGAUAGAACGCUGAUCAAAAUAGACCACAUUCUAAGCCAUGAAACAAGACUCAAUAAAGUUAAAAGAACUGAAAUCAUGUAUAAUACAUUUUCUGGGCUGGGCGCGGUGGCUCAUGCCUGCAAUCCCAGCACUU
rnacentral:lncRNA from 1 species